ACCAGACGACUGAAAUGUAAGUCGUUCGGGAAAGUCAAACUUUUGAAAUAAUCUAGUCAAAUGCAAAACUAACUUAUGACCACUGAAAUGUAAGUCGUCUAGGUUCUUUGGUGAUUUUUUUGUAACUACACAAAAUGAGACGACUUAACUUUCAGUCGUCUCAGAAAACAGAUUUCAAAGUCAAUUGCAAAAAUAACCUCUGCGUUGACCAGACGACUUCCAGGUAGGUCGUCUACUGCCAGACAACUUUCCAUGUAAGUUGUCUGACGAACAGAUCUGGAAAAAAAUUCGAUUUCAUACUUAAAUUGGUGAGAUAACUUCCUUAGCACACAUAAGGCUUCUCCAAGCACACAGAAUCUUAAACGAAAGUGACCCACCCAUAAUCGUUAGCUUCUAUGACUUUAUAAACCAUAAAAAAUGUAAAAUCAAAAUCUUGGGUUUUUUUAAGCUCAAUGUGGAGAGAAAGUGAGAGAUAUGAUGUGUUUAGUUCAUAAGAAUGGCAGACAAACGCCAAAGCUCCGUUGCAGACAAACGCCAAAGCUCUUUCCAAAAAUUACUAAUUAAGAUUGGAUCGCGAUCACUUACAAUGGUUUUAGGAAUGCCAUGAUGUUUCACUAUCACUUCAAGGAACUUAGCUGCGAUUCCUUUUGUUGUAUAAGGGUGCGUUAGAGGUACCUAGUGAGCAGCUUUUGAGAGUUGAUGAACCACAACCAUGAUGGACGUGUGAUUAUCGGAACCGGGCAGUCCAUCGAUGAAAUCCGUUGAAAACUCCUCCCAGAGUUGGUUCGGAAUGGGAAGUGGUUGUAGGAGUCCUUUUGGUGCCAAACUCUCAGACUUCACACGUUGGCAGACAUCACACCGAGCCGCAAAUCCACUGACCAACUUGUGCAUUGCCGGCCAAUAGUACUGCUGGUGAUAAUCGUUUGAGAGUCUGGAGUGUACAUGAAUGUCCACCCAUUGGUGUGUUGUGGUAUUUUCGAAGAAGAGACUGGAUCAAUGGAGAGCUUGGUGGAAUAACUAGACGAUUAUGGUAGUGAACGAGACCAUUGCGCUUCAUGUAUGGUGCUCCGGGUUUCUCAUCAGCCUGCUUGCCAAUCUUAAGGAGAUAUGGAUCUGUUGAUGGCUGCUCGCGAAUAUCUCCCCAAAAAUAUGUCUGUUGAGUGUAGAUGGCAUUGAGGCACGGGCUGUUAGCACGACUAGAGAGUGCAUCAGCUGUGGCUUUCAUCGAGCCUGGUUUGUAUGUGAUUUCAUAGUCAUAACCCACAAGCUUGCCCAUCCAUUUUUGCUGUUCUGGUGUCAUAAUGCGUUGCUCAAGUAGAUACCGCAAGCUUCGUUGAUCCGUUUGUAUCGUGAAGCGAUGCCAAAGGAGAUAUGGUUGCCACGUACGAGCAAUGACAAUGGCAAGCAUUUCUCGAGCAUAGGGUUACCAGCUCUGUUUCGCAACACCCAGAGAUCGACCCAUAUAUGUGAUUGGUUUGCCGUGUUGCAUGAGAACAGCACCAAUGCCAUCUCCCGAAACGACGCCCAAGGAGAUAUGGUUGCCACGUACGAACAAUGACAAUGGCAAGCAUUUCUCGAGCAUAGGGUUACCAGCUCUAUUUCGCAACACCCAAAGAUCGACCCAUAUAUGUGAUUGGUUUGCCGUGUUGCAUGAGAAAAGCACCAAUGCCAUCUCCCGAAGCGUCUGUCUGAAUGGUAAAUGGGCUGGAGAAAUCUGGUAAGGCCAGUGUCGGAGUUGUUGUCAUCACAAUUUUCAAGGCAUUGAAAUUUCAUCAGCAGGAACAGGCCACUCGAACUUCCCCUUUUUAGUAGAUUGGUAAGUGGCUUGGCGAUCAGACCGUAGUCCUUAACAAACUUUUGGUAGUAACCGGUGAGGCCAAGGAACCCACGUAAUUCUGUGAUGUUGGUUGGAGGUGGCCAGUCUAACAUUGCUGUGAUGUUGGUACCAACGACUUUAACUCCUUCUCCUGAGAUCACAUGUCCAAGGUAGUCAACCUCUGACUGACCAAACACACACUUUUUCUUCUUGACGAACAACUUUUGUUCUUGUAAUAUUGUGAAGACCAGUCUGACGUGUUCAAUAUGGUCCUCCCACGAGCGACUGUAGAUCAAAAUGUCAUCGAAGAAAACAAGAACAAAUUUACGAAGGUGGUGCCAAAAUACCGAGUUCAUCAAUGCCUGAAACGUAGAGGGAGCAUUGGAAAUACCAAAUGGAAUAACCAGGUAUUCGUAGUGGUACCAUUAUGAGUGCGAAAUGCGGUUUUGUGAACAUCGUCUGGAUGAACUCUGACCUGGUGGUAACUGUCGGUGAGGUCGAGCUUCGUGAAGACUGUCGCACCGUGUAGCUCAACCAGAAUAUCGUCAACAGUCAGGAUUGGAAAUCGAUCCUUAAUCAUGACUGCAUUCAAAGCUCGAUAAUCUGUGCAAAACCGUCAAGAUCCGUCCUUUUUCUUCACUAGCAAUACCAUAGAUGAGAAUGGACUGGAGCGAGGUUGAAUAAUACCGGUGUUUAUCAUGGCAUGUACUUGUCGUUCAAUUUCUUCUUUCUAGUAGUGAGCAUACCGAUAUGGUCUCACAUUCACCGGUCGUCUCCUUCUCACAAGGUGAUGUGGUGCUCGAUAUCACAGGAUGGAGGCAACUGAUCAGGUUUGGUGUCAAAUUUUUCCAUCAGUGGCUGAAGCUUCGCAGGGAUUUCGAAAACGGUGUCGUCUCUGUGUGGUAUGGAGAUUGCAAAGCAGGCCUGGCCCAAUUUGAUGUCUUGGAUGAUCUCUUCCGUUUGGGCCUGUGAGAUUGAGCUCCCUUGAAGCCCAUGAAUAAUUUGGUGUUGUCCGGCCCACGAGAAGCUCAUCGUAUGUGCUGUCCAGUCGCACAACGCCGGUCCCAACUGCAGUAACCAUUGCCUUCCUAGAAUGAGAUCUUGACCUUUAAUGGGUAAAGGAAAGAAAUCAAUCCAGAACUGAACUCCAUCAUUGGUUGUAUGCAUAUCUUUGUAAAUACCGGUGUAUCGAAUAGGAUGUCCAUCCGCUGACAUGGAACAGCUUGGCGGGUGAAAGCUUGAGAUUCAGGCGGCUGGCGACCUUAUCAGUGACAAAAUUGUGGGUUGAUCCACUGUCGAUCAAGGCCACUAGCUUCUAUUGGUGUAUCUCAGCAUGGGUGCGUAUGGUUUUCGGCGAUCCCCAACCGGUUAAAGCCUGCAGCGUGAUUUCAGGUUCUUCAGCUGUUCCCCCCGUCAUCAUCAUCCUCACUCUCUGAAUCACCGAUCCCUUGGAUCAAGAGUAGUUGUGACUUUUGGCAACGAUGGUCCGGUGUGUACUUCUACUCGCAGCUGAAACAGUAUAUGAGACUCCUCUUUCGCUUCAUUUCGUCCCAACUCAGUCGUUUAGGGUUUCCGUUGUUACCGUUCUUAUUCGGUGGAUUUGGUGCCGGUGGUAUUGGUGAAGGGUUUCGCUGAGUUCUGUUAGCGAAACCAGUGAAUCGUCACUGCCGCUGCAACUGCUCAUCUUUUAUCCUUGCGAGCUCGAUCUUGGCUUUCAGCGUUUUUGGUUGAAACACACAAAUGCUGUCAGAUAUAGUAUCCUUGAGGCCACCAACAUACGUCCAAUCAAUGCCUUUUGUGUCCAUCCGACACCGUGUUCUGUAACCUCUCAAACUCCCAUUGAUACUCUCUCAACGUUCCGGUCUGCCGUAUUUUGGAAAGUGCUUCGCUGAAAUCUUCUGCAGCAAUUGGUCCGAAACGAGCCCACAAUUCCACCUCAAACACUUCCCAGGUGAUUGGUGUCUGAUCUUCAUUAAGAGCCUUGGUGGUUGCCUGCCACAAUUCAUUAGAUUCAUCAUUCAGGUGAUAUGAACCAAAGCUAACUCUCUGGUCAUAUGGCAUGUCCAGAUAACAGAAGUACUGGUUUGCCUUGCUGAGCCAAGCUGUAAGAACUUAGGGAACUCCAACUUGAAUGUCGAGAUGUGGUGACUGGCACAAAGGGGUUCGUGUGCUCCCUCUGGACAGAUGCCGACGGUUGGCUCCCUUCGGAUCUGCGACUGGCUUGUGGUGCACUGGAACUUCCUUCACGGAUGCUCGAGACAGCCUCGGACAGCAUAUGUUUAUACGAUUCUUCCAUGCUCCGGAUCCCUUUGUUGAUUUGAGAAAUCUCAUCUUGCAUCAUGCCAACGGCAGUUUCAAGAUCUGAUACCCUCUCUUUGUUGCUGCCCAUGACUGUACUACACGGUGGUCUUGAAGGUGUAUCAUACACAAAGCUUCCUUCUUACCGCCGAUGCUAAUCAGUCGCCACUAAGACCCGUUCACCUUCCUAUACAUGGUAUAAAAUCCUUAUGGGCCUGGACGUGGGACUGAUCACUAGGUGUGCGUCUUAAAAGCGGAGUUAAGUAAGCAGGCUGGUGAGAACAGGAGGAAGAGGAUGGAGUUGAAAUUGUUUAAACAACUUUACAAAGAAUUAGCGACCAGUCGGUCUUGUGUGUUUAUUAAAGAAAUAGAUUUUGUACGGUUCGAUCAUGAUUAGUAUGUCAAUCUAGUUGACUGAAAAAGGACAGACACAACAGAAGAUGAUAUUAACAUACAUAAUAAAACAACGACAAAUUACAAAAGCGUUCGUUAGCUAAUUAGAGUUUUUUAGUUUAAGGCAAAUAUCACAUCACAUGUAUACUUCCAUCCCCAGAAACUUGGAAGAUUGACA